UUGUUUGAGUUAAGUUCACCGGACAAAUUUUGCAAUACCCCAUUCUGCCCAACACCAACCCCCAAGCUUAGUUUGAUAUAAAAGUAGAACUAUUCAUUGCUAGUUUAAUGCUCCAACAUUGAUAACACUCCCUUCAUGAUUGCUGACCCACACCUUGCUCGGUUGUUCUCGCAGUCCCGAUGAGGCCAUGAUGCUUACCUUGCUGAAGUGCAUCAACCCCGACCAUGGCACCACAUUCAUAGUCUUGAGGUAGCCGUGCUACAACUGCAUCAAUGCUACUUCUCCGACUAGAUAAGUCUAUGGUCUAUCCUAUUAUUUUCUUUUGUUACUUGGUCGAUAAGCCAUGAUGCCAUGACAUAUAUUAUUGUGUUGAUUCCCUAUGUGAUGCAGAAGCUAUGGUGUUUUGUUUUGAGUCUGUUGGAAAUUGUAAUUGAUAAUGAUUUGUGUAAAAUUAGUGUAGAACAUAUGUCUUGUUAUCUUAAAUUGUUCGUGCCAUGCUCAAUGAACCAUCUAAGAUUGAAUCAUUUUCUGCGUUCAACAUCUAGAACCAUUCUGGGAGUUUUGGUAUUCAUGCAACAAUUGUGCGUUCUUGUCUUUUGUGUUGUUUCUGUGAGCUAGUCCUUGUGGUUAUUACUGUUACACGUUACAUGUAGAGAUGCUUCAUGAUUUAGUCCCUACCUGCUUUCUAUAUUUGUUUUUAUUUUG
rnacentral:lncRNA from 1 species